UGAGAAUGGACGGCUUGGAUGGAAACGGAUGAAAAUGAAUGGCUGAAUGUUGAUGGCUGUGUUCUUAGUGGGCUAGGCCAAGGAAACAAAUUUACUAGCCUUCUUUUCAUAACUGUCCAACUAACUUCAUCUUCUACUUCCAACCACGAACUGAAGAACUCCAUCCCCUAUCCCAUGAAACCAUAGAGAAAAUUUGUAAGGGGGUGUUAAGAGGGGGCUUAGGGGGAUCUCCA
rnacentral:lncRNA from 1 species